AGACUCAAUCCCUCGGGUUUCCGAGGAGAUUGGACUUGGGUGUUCGCCGCGUCUGCCGGCUCGCCUUAAAAGACUUAGCGGGAUAGCACCGUAGUCGGCGUAAUAAGUUUCGUCGGUGAAGGUUGUGAUGACUGCUUACAAUCGCCCUCGGGCAAUUUUUGUACU
rnacentral:misc_RNA from 1 species